rnacentral:snRNA from 1 species
UGGUACAAAGACGAUUAGCAUGGCCCCUGAGCAAAGGUGACACACAAAUUUGUGACACAUUUCCAUAUUUU